rnacentral:rRNA from 1 species
GAUGAACGCUGGCGGCGUGCCUAAUACAUGCAAGUCGAGCGAACAGACGAGGAGCUUGCUCCUCUGACGUUAGCGGCGGACGGGUGAGUAACACGUGGAUAACCUACCUAUAAGACUGGGAUAACUUCGGGAAACCGGAGCUAAUACCGGAUAAUAUAUUGAACCGCAUGGUUCAAUAGUGAAAGACGGUUUUGCUGUCACUUAUAGAUGGAUCCGCGCCGCAUUAGCUAGUUGGUAAGGUAACGGCUUACCAAGGCAACGAUGCGUAGCCGGCCUGAGAGGGUGAUCGGCCACACUGGAACUGAGACACGGUCCAGACUCCUACGGGAGGCAGCAGUAGGGAAUCUUCCGCAAUGGGCGAAAGCCUGACGGAGCAACGCCGCGUGAGUGAUGAAGGUCUUCGGAUCAUAAAACUCUGUUAUUAGGGAAGAACAAAUGUGUAAGUAACUAUGCACGUCUUGACGGUACCUAAUCAGAAAGCCACGGCUAACUACGUG